UAACGACUCUCGGCAACGGAUAUCUCGGCUCUCGCAUCGAUGAAGAACGUAGCGAACUGCGAUACUUGGUGUGAAUUGCAGAAUCCCGUGAACCAUCGAGUCUUUGAACGCAAGUUGCGCCCGAGCCAUUUGGAUGAGGGCACGUUUGCCUGGGUGUCA
rnacentral:rRNA from 1 species